rnacentral:rRNA from 1 species
CCUACGGUGGGCAGCAGUGGGGAAUAUUGCACAAUGGGGGAAACCCUGAUGCAGCGACGCCUCGUGAAGGCAGAAGUAUUUCGGUAUGUAAACUUCUAUCAGCAGAGAAGAAAAUGACGGUACCUGACUAAGAAGCCCCGGCUACCUACGUGCCAGCAGCCGCGGUAAUACGUAGGGGGCAAGCGUUAUCCGGAUUUACUGGGUGUAACGGGAGCGUAGACUGCAUGGCAAGUCUGGUGUGAAAGGCAGGGGCGCAACCCCUGGACUGCAUUGGAAACUGUCAGGCUGGAGUGCAGGAGAGGUGAGUGGAAUUCCUAGUGUAGCGGUGAAAUGAGUAGAUAUUAGGAGGAACACCAGUGGCGAAGGCGACUUACUGGACUGUAACUGACGUUGAGGCUCGAAAGCGUGGGGAGCAAACAGGAUUAGAUACCCCUGUAGUC